UCCGUAGGUGAACCUGCGGAAGGAUCAUUAAUAGUGCCCUCUGAUGCAAAUCAUUGGGUUAGAUCUGCUCUCUUCGCAAGAAGAGGGUUUCCAUACACACCGUGAACUGUGGCUUCGGCCAUCACAAACUGUUAGUAAUGAAUGUAAUAUCAUAACAAAAACAAAACUUUUAACAACGGAUCUCUUGGCUCUCGCAUCGAUGAAGAACGCAGCGAAAUGCGAUAAGUAAUGUGAAUUGCAGAAUUCGGUGAAUCAUCGAAUCUUUGAACGCACCUUGCGCCCUUUGGUAUUCCGAAGGGCAUGCCUGUUUGAGUGUCAUGAAACCUCACCCCACUUGGGUUUUUGCCUGAGCGGUGGUGUAUUGGGUGUUGCCUUGCUAAAGGCUCGCCUUAAAGACAUAAGCACCUUGGAUGUAAUACGUUUUCAUCCUUCUGGGUGGCUGAUAACCCCACAUAUUCAUGAUCUGGCCUCAAAUCAGGUAGGGCUACCCCGCUGAACUUAAGCAUAUCAAUAAGCGGAGGAAAAGAAACUAACUAGGAUUCCCUUAGUAACGGCGAGUGAACCGGGAUGAGCUCAAAUUUAAAAUCUGGCGUCUUUCAGGCGUCCGAGUUGUAAUCUAUAGAGGCGUUUUCCGCGCCGGACCGCGUCCAAGUCUCUUGGAAUAGAGUAUCAAAGAGGGUGACAAUCCCGUACUUGACGCGACAACCGGUGCUCUGUGAUACGUUCUCAAUGAGUCGAGUUGUUUGGGAAUGCAGCUCUAAAUGGGUGGUAAAUUCCAUCUAAGGCUAAAUAUUGGCGAGAGACCGAUAGCGAACAAGUACCGUGAGGGAAAGAUGAAAAGCACUUUGGAAAGAGAGUUAAACAGCACGUGAAAUUGUUAAAAGGGAAACGCUUGAAGU
rnacentral:sRNA from 1 species